CCCCUCCUCUCCCCGCCGCCGCCCACGACGGCAUCUCCUCGCCUCCCUCAACUUCGGGCGUUCUUCUUCCAUCCAGCCUAAGUCGAGCCUCGCGAGGGAUUCCGACACGGGUGGGGAUCAAUCCGAGGCGAUGCUUGCCAGUGAUCCGGCGCAGGAGGGGAUCAACCCGAGGCGACGCGUGCGAGGAUGCGAUGUUCAACAGGAUCCCGCCGGUAGCAGAUGUGCGACGUCUCAUCUUCCCCGUCACCGUUGCUCCUAGCUGCAGCCACUCGUGCACGUCACCGCCAGGUUUAGUUCAAUCGCUUUUGUAUAUGAGACACUGUCUGAUGCUUAGAUUCAGUGCGCCACUAGCCUCAAGGGAGAUUUGGAGGAGGCCGAGGCUUGGAACACCGAAGACAUGUGCUUGCGUCAGCUUGAUGCCACUCCGCCACUGCAGGCGGAUUACCAUGGUCGGCUGGAUUGACCUCCCCCCGAUUCACCUGCAUCACGCAUCUCGGCUUGAUCGACUGGAUACCAUAAAGCGCUGGAUUCCUUCGGGUGCCUUGCCGCAGCUGAAUCUCCUCGAGCACGUUGUCUCCCUCCCGCACUGGAUCCCCUCGGAUAUUUGAAUAUCAUUCCGGUCUUAAAUUAUGUUCCUGGAGAGAAAUACAGGAAACUGAGGUACUGCUACGCUGCCUGAUCUUCUUUGUCCCCAACGGAUCUCCUCUCACAUGAUCUUGCGACGGUCGACGUGCAGAAUUGAGAGGACUUGAAUGUGGUAAGGACCUCUACUACAUCGGCUAACACAGCAGCAAGGAUUCGCUUACUCAGUAUUAUCCAUUGCUCCAGCCCUAUAUAACCUUGCAGGUUAGGUUAUAUCGAUGAAUAUUAUUAAAAAAAUCUUCAUACAUUACAACAAUGUGAUUUAUUUCUGGUUCCAUAACAUCUAUUUGUGGUCUGCACUCUGGAAUAUGCUUGCAACAAUCGAGUAAAAGGAAUACUUACUGAAGUGGCCAGCAUUUCCGUCAACUGUGGUAUUUGAUCUUUACUACCACCAGUGUUUUUCAGGUGUAUUUUUUAAUUAUUUUUCUCUUUCUCCCAUUUACAAACAAAAUAUCUCUCUUUGUCAAAAAAACUUCAAAAUAGAUGGGCGCAGCAACGCGUGCCAACAAUGAUCUAGUACUCAUAGUAACAAUCCAAACUAGUGGUGUUUUGCAGCCAAACCGCAAAAUUCAUGAAAGUUUGUUCAAUGUGCAUGCACUCGUAGAGUCUUUGUUUCAAAGAUAAAAGUAACCACUCUUCAUCAGAUACACAAUGAUAGAAAAGUGACCAGAACCAAUCUCCGUGAUUUGCGCUAGAUUUGCUUGAAUAAGAUAUUUCAAAUAGUAGGAGUAUUUCUUAACUGUAUUUUACACAACAUGGUUGACCAACAAAAAAAAGGCAUGACUUGCAAACGGCAUCUUAAAUUUAUGACACAGAAUGAUCUCAGAUGGAUGGAAACAAAUGAUAACCUCACUCGGUACGUAUCUGGUGCACUGGG